CUUGGGGAAGACACCAAUGUUUCACAGUUGUAAGCAAAGGGAAUCGGGGGAGGGGAUCUACCUCCCCCCACUAAUUCCCAGCCUGGCAGGAUAGAGGCCAAAGGGAUUGGCAGAAAAGUUGAGCCUAAAGACCUCAAAGAUUUUGUUCCUUAAAAAGGGCCGGGACUGAAGAAAUACUACUACCAAUACUAAGUGAUUGCCCCAGACUUAAGGGAGGGAAGGAAGCAGGAGGAGGAAGAGAGAAGAAGAGAAAGUGGUGAAUCCCUGUUAGACCCCAUAGUCUACCUCUUCCUGCCCCAAUGCGCUUGCUGUUUCUCUCCCUCCGAUACACAUACACAUAAAAACUUUCCAUCUUUCCCCCCUAAGUUUCCAUUGUCUGGGAUCUACUACAACCAAUUCUGAUAUUAAGUAGAUGAAGAGCACAAGCCUGAUGACAUCUUCAAGUCUUCUUUUCAAAGUUUCCUUCCUGUCCUAUUAUCAAAAGAGCAGAAAGAAGAAGGGACUUAGGAACCAGGAGAAAUCCUAGUAAAGAAAUCCCUUCAAGAGGAAACUUCUUGGGCUGUGUUGUCCCUUUAACUCCUAAAUCUGAGAUAAAUAAACUGAGACCCCAAAAAAGGAAAUGUUCUAUCCAAGGUCAAAGAAUGGCAGUGGAAGAACUGGGAUUAGAAGCCUACAUGCUGUGACUCCCUAGUCAGGAUCACAGGAUUUACAGAGACAGCAUCAUGUGGUAAAUGGAGUGCCCGACCUGGCCCAGGUUCAAAUAUUGCCUUGGAUACUUACAAACUAUGUGACUGAUCCCUUCAUCUCAUUCUAUCUCUUAUAUAAUACCUUUAGCACAUACCUCACAGGGUACUGUAAGGUUCACAUAAAAUCAUGUCAAUAAAGGACUUUAAAGCACUAUAUAAAUGUCACUUGUGAGUCUGGGAUUGGAAAGAAUUUGAGAGAU